CCUACGGGUGGCAGCAGUGAGGAAUAUUGGUCAAUGGGCUUACGCCUGAACCAGCCAAGUCGCGUGAGGGAAGACUGCCCUAUGGGUUGUAAACCUCUUUUGUCAGGGAGCAAUUGGCGCUACGUGUAGCGUUAUCGAGAGUACCUGAAGAAAAAGCAUCGGCUAACUCCGUGCCAGCAGCCGCGGUAAUACGGAGGAUGCGAGCGUUAUCCGGAUUUAUUGGGUUUAAAGGGUGCGUAGGCGGAAUGCCAAGUCAGCGGUAAAAUCGCGGGGCUCAACCCGCGGACGGCACAUGAUACUGCGAGACUAGAGUAAUGGAGGGGGAACCGGAAUUCUCGGUGUAGCAGUGAAAUGCGUAGAUAUCGAGAGGAACACUCGUGGCGAAGGCGGGUUCCUGGACAUUAACUGACGCUGAGGCACGAAGGCCAGGGGAGCGAAAGGGAUUAGAUACCCUGGUAGUC
rnacentral:rRNA from 1 species